UCUUCGCUAGUAUAGUGGUCAGUAUUUCUGCUUGUCAUGCAACUCGCAGGAGACCUGGGUUCGAUUCCCAGGCGGAGAG